rnacentral:rRNA from 1 species
GACGAACGCUGGCGGCGUGCUUAACACAUGCAAGUCGAGCGGUAAGGCCCUUUCGGGGGUACACGAGCGGCGAACGGGUGAGUAACACGUGGGUGACCUGCCCUCAGCUCUGGGAUAAGCCUGGGAAACUGGGUCUAAUACUGGAUAUGACUCCACGGUGCAUGUCGUGGGGUGGAAAGCCUUGUGCGGCUGAGGAUGGGCCCGCGGCCUAUCAGCUUGUUGGUGGGGGAUGGCCUACCAAGGCGACGACGGGUAGCCGGCCUGAGAGGGCGACCGGGCCACACUGGGACUGAGACACGGCCCAGACUCCUACGGGAGGCAGCAGUGGGGAAUCUUGCGCAAUGGGCG